AUUGAACGCUGGCGGAAUGCUUUACACAUGCAAGUCGAACGGUAGAGGGGGCAACCCCUCGAGAGUGGCGGACGGGUGAGUAAUAUAUCGGAACGUGCCCAGUCGUGGGGGAUAACGUAGCGAAAGUUACGCUAAUACCGCAUACGAUCUAAGGAUGAAAGCGGGGGAUCGCAAGACCUCGCGCGAUUGGAGCGGCCGAUAUCAGAUUAGGUAGUUGGUGGGGUAAAGGCUCACCAAGCCAACGAUCUGUAGCUGGUCUGAGAGGACGACCGACCACACUGGAACUGAGACCCGGUCCAGACUCCUACGGGAGGCAGCAGUGGGGAAUUUUGGACAAUGGACGCAAGUCUGAUCCAGCCAUUCCGCGUGCAGGAUGAAGGCCCUCGGGUUGUAAACUGCUUUUGUACGGAACGAAAAGGUCUCUCUUAAUACGGGGGACUCAUGACGGUACCGUAAGAAUAAGCACCGGCUAACUACGUGCCAGCCGCCGCGGUAACAC
rnacentral:rRNA from 1 species